rnacentral:lncRNA from 1 species
AUUAACAAAAUUGAAAGAAAAAAGAUAAAAUUUGUUAUUUUGAAGUCUUAGGCUUCGUUUGGUUCGGGAAUUAGUAGGAACUAGUUAUUCCAAAGAUAAGUAUAAGUAUGGAUUUUUAUAAGAAUACAAAAUUUUUUUUAUUUGGAUGAAAAUGUGAGUAUAAGCUGGAACUAGAAAAAUUGUGUUUGAAUGGUUAUUGAGAAUAAGAGAAAUAGUUGAUGGCUAUAAAUAAAUAAUAAUGAUAUUAUUACUAUAAUUGAAUUUAAAUUUUAAAAUUUUAAAUUUUAAAUUUAUAAUUUUAAAUUAAAAAUUUUAAGUUUUAAAUUUUAAAUUUUGAAAUUAAAAUUUAAAAUCUAAAUAUUCAA